GAGCGCCUCUCGGGCACAUCCCAGCGCGGGGUCUCCCCACAGCAGGCCUCCUGGAAACCCAGUUUGCUUUCAGGAUCUAGACCUACGAGAUGGGUGAGGAAGGAAUGGGUCACACCUGGUCUCUGAGAAAAGGCGGC
rnacentral:lncRNA from 1 species